rnacentral:tRNA from 1 species
UGCCUGAUAGCUCAGUUGGUAGAGCGCUUGGCUGUUAACCAAGAGCGCCACUUACGUAA